GUGUUCUAAAUUGGUUAGACAUACCCAUUUGAAUUGCCUUCACUCCUGAGUCUCUGAGUGUCAGGUUCAAGCUGCUGACCGACGAGGUUCCUUAUGCUUGCGAACCAGUUAGAUUCUAUACACAUAUGAAUCUUCCCCAUAUUCGAAUAUCUGAAUGUCAGACUCAAGCUGAUGAUAUAUGAGGUAUGGUCCUCGCUGUAUCAAUCAAGUCCCAUUGAAAUAUUGAAACGUUGUUCAUACAUCUUUGAAUGACCUUUUAUGUGCUGACAAUAUGUUCUGAAAUGAAGAGGUAUGUUUUUCACAACCUGUGCUUUUUGGUUCUCUUUUUUCCUCUUUCUUCAUGUUAUUUAUUCUGUUUUCCUCCUCAUGUUGCUAUGUCAUGUUCUUUUGAUA